UACGUAGGGGGCAAGCGUUGUCCGGAAUCAUUGGGCGUAAAGAGCGUGUAGGCGGUCCGAUCAGUCCGCUGUGAAAGUCCAGGGCUCAACCCUGGAAAGCCGGUGGAUACUGUCGGGCUAGAGUCCGGAAGAGGCGAGUGGAAUUCCUGGUGUAGCGGUGAAAUGCGCAGAUAUCAGGAGGAACACCGAUGGCGAAGGCAGCUCGCUGGGACGGUACUGACGCUGAGACGCGAAAGCGUGGGGAGCGAACAGG
rnacentral:rRNA from 1 species